UACAGAGGAUGCAAGCGUUAUCCGGAAUGAUUGGGCGUAAAGCGUCUGUAGGUGGCUUUUUAAGUCCGCCGUCAAAUCCCAGGGCUCAACUCUGGACAGGCGGUGGAAACUACCAAGCUGGAGUACGGUAGGGGCAGAGGGAAUUUCCGGUGGAGCGGUGAAAUGCGUAGAGAUCGGGAGGAAUACCAGUGGCGAAAGCGGCUUCCUGGUCCAGCACCGACGUCAGGCACGAAAGCGUGGGGAGCAAACAGG
rnacentral:rRNA from 1 species